CACUACCUGGCCAGCCUGAUGCCUCUGCUAGAGGUCUGUGACUCCUUGGAAGACCCCUCAGAUCCGUUUCCUUCAGUCAGGAGGAGUUCAUGGGGACUCUGGAGCAUGCUGGACCUCGGCUCACCUCUGUGCACAAAGGGGAUUGGGAAAUUCUUCAGGUCCCCCAACUUCGAUGGCUGGUAUCGCCUGCGACACGGAGAUGGCCCAGAAACCAGAAUGUCUCCACCUAGAGGUUGUCUGUGAUGCUGACCUGCUGGGUUGGACCAAAGGCAAGUCAGAGGUGGAGAUCGUGGACCUGGUCCUGAAGCUGAGAAGGACACUGAUCACAAAAAACCCAUCAAUAUGUCCAUUACAUUCACCUCAACCAUUUGUAACAUGCUAUAUUUAGUGUAAGAAAUGAAUUCUGUGCCACAAACCAUUGCGUACUAUAGUCUGUCUGUCCCCCAAUCCAGAUGAAGGCUGGAAAGCAGCAGCUCCCAGUGAAGGAAGGGGUGCUGGAGAACCUAGAGGGAUACCUCCAGACUAUCAUCAACUCUGUACCAUAGGACAUGCUGACUGUACUACACAGAUACUGACUCUAACACUGACACACUGCUGAGAUACUGAUGCUGAAGUGUUUUUUGUUGUUUUUUUGUCUUUUAAAAACAACCUGAAACUGAAAGUAUUGCCAUCAGCCAAACCACUACACCCUCUGAGUAACAUAAUGUAGCAAACUAGAAGUUUAGGUGAUAUUAGAAACAUGGCUAUGGUUCAUUAUGACUAUUAGAUCAAGGGGAAUAGAGAGUAGUUGAAAUGUAGACUUUAUGAGAUUAUGCCUUCACUAAGUAUCCUGAUUAUUACUAGUGGGAUUGAAGCAUAUACCUGUGGAGAGGGACAUGUUUGAGUAUAGCCUUAUGCUCUAUUAUCUAUUCCAGCUAUUCAGAUGUAACAUGCAUAGUUGUUAGCGUAAAAUAUAACUAUCCUAUUUUAAAAUUCCUGUCGUUAAACACAUAAAAGGGGUAAAUUACAUUUAAGUGACUACAUUUUGAGGCUUUCAUCAAUCUCAGUAUUUUCUAUUGAUCAAGCACAAAUAAGUCAUACUACAUUGAAACACCUCUAAAUAGCCAGGUUACAAAAUCUUAGUUUAGUUUAUGUACAAAGGUAUGUGGACGCCCCUUCAAAUUAGUGGCUUUGGCUAUUUCGGCUACACCCGUUGCUGACAGUUUUUUAAAAAUCGAGCAAACAGCACUGCACUGAAGAGCUCAGUGACUUUCAAUGUGUCCCCAUCAUAGGAUGCCACAUUUCCAACAAGUCGGUUUGUCAAAUUUGUGGAAACGUCUAGGUGCAACGACAGCUAAGCCGUGAAGUAGUAGGCCACACAAGCUCACAGAACGGGACCCCCGAGUGCUGAAGCGUGUAGAAAUUGUCUGUACUCGGUUGCAACACUCACUACCGAGUUCCAAACUGCCUCUGGAAGCAACAA